rnacentral:lncRNA from 1 species
GCUGUGACUACUGCGAUAAGAUUGCAGGCCUUGGCCCCAAGAGAGCGCUGACUCUGAUCCAGCAGCACCGGACUAUAGAGAACGUAGUACUGAGCAUCAACAGAAAGAACCACCCUGUCUCACUGUUCUGGCAGUACCAGGAACACCACCCUGACUGAGCCCCCUGACCUGGAUUGAGCCGGAUGAGGAGGCCCUGGUCCAGGUUCUGUGCCAUGAUAAACACGUCAAGGAGUACAAGGAUAUGCGGUCGAAUGGCGAAAUUCUGUGAGCGGAGAGGGAGGGCGACAAGGCAGCAGGACGGAGCAGACAACCCCGCAUGGAAGAAUUAUUCAGCAUUACGUGGAAAAGCCAGCAGGCCAGCAGGCCUUCAUCACAUGGUCAUAGGCCUUCAUUAUUUUAAUGACACCUCACCUUUUUACGGUGGAAGUACCUGCUGAACUCUAUAUCUCAUCAUAAGGCCCAGAGCCCUGUAUAAAGAUGGCUAUAUGUAGAACUUCAUUAGGCAUUUAAUCGAUGCCAAAUGCUUCAUGUACUUAUUGCUUUGGAGAUCCCCAGACUGUAUCAACUUUUUACAUUGGUCCAUCAUAUCCAGAACAACUCAUGUGAACAGUAUGAAUUGUACAGCGAUUUUCAGUUGUUUAUAACCUCAUCAGUGUAGGUAUGCCUUCUUUUUGAUGGAUCACCUUUCAUGUAUUUGGUUAUAUUGACGGUCUCUCUUCUUGAUACAGUUAAAAAGUGUUGAAAACCAUGUUUUCUUCUGGGUUGUGUUCAGUAGGCUCGAAACAGGAUAAAACGUUUUGGAAUAGAGUGAAGGUACUACCUGAACUUGUCCAGUAAGAGCACAGGUUUUACUUCUCUGUUGCAUGCAUAUUGAUUUUAAAACCUUGUGUGCUCUACUGAACAUGACCCUGUACUGCUGAACUGGGAGUAGCCUGGUUUCCUACCUCUUCCUGCAUUCAACAACGUCACAUUGCUUUGUUUGGCAAGAUAAUAUUCCAAGAUAACCGGGUUGGCUAAAGCAGAAACAGACUGGAAUCCAGGCUAAACUGAAAGUGCUGUGGCACCUAACACACUGGAUACCAGGCUAAACUGAAAGUGCUGUGGCACCUAACACACUGGAAUCCAGGCUAAACUGAAAGUGCUGUGGCACCUAACACACUGGAAUCCAGGCUAAACUGAAAGUGCUGUGGCACCUAACACACUGGAUACCAGGCUAAACUGAAAGUGACGUGGCACCUAAAUCGGCCAGUGUAUUUCUAGUAUGUAUUUAGUCAUUGUGUUGUCUGAAAUACCAGUCGUAUCUCUCCCCUUGUAGCCGGCUGAAUCUUCCAUCGCAGCCAAAGGAAAGAGAGUGAGUCCAAGUGACACUGUCCUCAGAUGGUGCCUGGCGGUAAAGCAAAUGCAUCCUGACUAACCAGGGGCGUUCGCCGAUUCUGUUGCAAAACAUUUCAGAAACAAAAGCAAAAGGAAUUAAAUGGGGAAGGUCAUAACUUAAUUUGUACAAUAGAAACUCUCGUUUUGCAACUGUUUGGACUAAUGAUUCCACCCCAGCUGUCUGACAGUGAAGAGGAUGCCCUAGACUGUUACCAUGGUUCCUCCAGUCUUUGAAUACAAUUAUAUUUACACUUUACCGGUUGUACAUGCUGUUGGUCCUUUUGACGGUAAGAGGUGGAGCUAAAUCCACAGGAAAGUGUUCUUUACCUGACUUUUUGUGGUGCCGGUUGGUUCUGUCGUUUGUAUUUUCAAAGUGAUGCAAAAAUAAGUAAACAGUAACCGAGUGUAGUCGACCGAAUAACGUUUCCUCGCAAUCAGCUGGAAGUGUUUGCCAUUCGGUUAGGCUCGGACAUAGUGUGUAAAUAUUUUGUCACGUGCGAAUUGCAUCAGUAUUGAAAAUGCAAACGAUAUGACCUUACAGACCAGCAUACUGAAGUUCGGGUUGAUAACACUGCACUGGAUAUUUUCUCUCACAUUCCUACUUGAAAAGGGACCAUGAAGGUCUACCUGAGCAUGGAGCUGUGCAGAUCAACUGAUCUAUACACUUAUUUAACUUCCGAACAAUAGAGCAGAAACCGAUUAGUGAUUCGGGACAGCGACUACCUCAGGGUCAUGUUCAUUAGGCACCAAGCGGAAGAAAAUGCACUGAAACGGGGACAGACUAACUGGACAUGUCCAAUUGGUCAUUCUCAUAUUUGUUUUCCGUUUUAAAACCUUGUGUGCCCUAAUGAACACGGCCCAGGCCAACUCCCAGUGUGCGAGUAAACAGGAUGAGCAGAGUCGGGGACUCAUUGGCGAGAACAGUGCAACCACUGUCUGUGGGGCCUUGCUAGUUCCUUCAGCCAAUACAGGAGACGAUUGAUUUAUAUUGAGGGAAGGGAAAUGGGUGGACACCUGCUACCCUCAAACAGUGCCACAUUCUAGGCAAAUUACUUUCUUAUCGUGACGAACUGACAGGAUCAUGUCAAAGUUGAGACCAAAACUCCAAAUGGUGCCUUUUGGAAGAGGAGAUUCUCUUAAGUCGUUGUUACAAAACAUAAUCAGUGUGAUGGUAAACAUUGCAUUUACUAUUAAACUGCUAUUCAUCAAUGUAAUGUUGUCGAGUGAUCAUUGCUGCCCAACCAGUAGGUGUCAGUCACGCUGCGGUUAGCUGUCUAGUACACCUGUAAACCAACGAAGAAGAAACGUGUCUGUCCCACUAGACCUCUGCAAGGUGUCUGAACCACCGCUGUCGAGCCAAGACAUCCCCUGCCUAGCCCUGGAUUAAUUUCUCCCACCUUUU